AACGAACGCUGGCGGCAUGCCUAACACAUGCAAGUCGAACGAUACCUUCAGGUCUAGUGGCUCACGGGUGCGUAACUCGUGGGAACCUGCCCUUAGGUUCGGAAUAACUCCCCGAAAGGGGUGCUAAUACCGGAUAAUGUCUGCGGACCAAAGAUUUAUCGCCUUUGGAUGGGCCCGCGUUUGAUUAGCUAGUUGGUAGGGUAAAAGCCUACCAAGGCGACGAGCCAUAGCUGGUCUGAGAGGAUGAUCAGCCACACUGGGACUGAGACACGGCCCAGACUCCUACGGGAGGCAGCAGUGGGGAAUAUUGGACAAUGGGCGAAAGACUGAUCCAGCAAUGCCGCGUGAGUGAUGAAGGCAUUAGGGUCGUAAAGCUCUUUUAACCGGGAUGAUAAUGACAGUACCGGGAGAAUAAGCUCCGGCUAACUCCGUG
rnacentral:rRNA from 1 species